UUUAAAGAGAGUUUGAUCCUGGCUCAGGACGAACGCUGGCGGCGUGCCUAAUACAUGCAAGUCGAACGAACGGAGGAAGAGCUUGCUCUUCCAAAGUUAGUGGCGGACGGGUGAGUAACACGUGGGCAACCUGCCUGUAAGUUGGGGAUAACUCCGGGAAACCGGGGCUAAUACCGAAUGAUAAAGUUUGGCGCAUGCCACGCUUUUGAAAGAUGGUUUCGGCUAUCGCUUACAGAUGGGCCCGCGGUGCAUUAGCUAGUUGGUAGGGUAAUGGCCUACCAAGGCAACGAUGCAUAGCCGACCUGAGAGGGUGAUCGGCCACACUGGGACUGAGACACGGCCCAGACUCCUACGGGAGGCAGCAGUAGGGAAUCUUCCGCAAUGGACGAAAGUCUGACGGAGCAACGCCGCGUGUAUGAAGAAGGUUUUCG
rnacentral:rRNA from 1 species